GUGGGUAUAGCUCAGUGGCAGAGUGCAUGCUUAGCACGUAUGAGGUCCGAAGUUCAAACCCUCGUACCUCCA
rnacentral:tRNA from 1 species